CCUCUUCCCAGACGGCCAUCCCCCAGGCCCAGCCUUGCCCACAAGAUUCCCAGAUUUCACAACUGGGGCUGGCGCUGAAUCAUGUACAGUCACGGAGGCUGAGAUGGCUGACGGCGCAGGUGGCUGUGGGCUGAUGUGUCACUUUUGACCUCAAACUGAGGCAGCAGAGGGACGAAGUGGCCGCGAGGCACAGUAUCUGGCAUAUGUGUGAGAAACAGCCACAGUGCCCGGGGAUGGGGCCAGGUUCUCACCCUGCACCGCCAGGGUCUGAAGGUGUCUCCCAAAGGUCAUGUGGGCCUUUAAGAGGUGGUUGGGUCCUGAGGGUUCUGCCCUUAUGAAUGGAUUCGUGUCGUUAUUGCAGGAGUGGCUUCAUGAUGGAGAGAGUGGAUUUGUCACGAAAGUGAGUUCGGCCAUUCCUUGCUGUCUCACAUGCCACCUCUUGCCAUGGGAUGCCCCCGCCAUGGGAUGCCCUCGCCAUGGGAUGCCCCCGCCAUGGGAUGCCCCCGCCAUGGGAUGACAGCAAGAAGGCCCUUGCUUGAGUGAGCCCCUCCAUCUUCGACUCUCCGGCUUCCAGGACUGUUAGAAAUACAUCUCUGUUAUUUGUAAAUUACCCAGGCUGUGGUACUCUGUUAUGGCAACACAAAACAGACUCAAGACACCACUAUAUGGAUGAAGAAACAAGCCCAAGAGGAAGCACCAGCUGGCCCAGAUGCUUCUCAUCUAUAGAGCUGAGCUGUAGGCUGGAGACCUGGAAGGCCCUCGCAGCACCUGCUCUCACCCUCUCCCCUCACGAAAGCACAGGAACUUGGGUUUGGAGCCGAUGAAAAGGGCUGGAAUUUGACUCUGCUCUGUGACCCUGGACAAGUCACUGCCCCUCUCUGGGCUUCAGUUUCCUCCUUGGUAACACAGAAUGAUUAUACCUACCCCUUGGGUUUGUUGACCUGAAUCUACCUCUGAGUCAUUGCCUUUCCUUCUUGCUGCAGCCACACUGGCCCCUUGAUGGUUCCUUGAACAUAACAAGCCCUUGCCCACCUCAGGGCCUUUGCACAUGCAGUGCCAGAUGCCUGGAAUGCCCUUCCUUCCCAUCUCCCCAUGGCCAGUUCAUUCUCGUCUUUCUUGGCUCAAAUGUUACCUCCCCAACCUAGAUAGCACCCCUGCCACCUCUUCACCCUGUCUUACUCUUCUUCAAGCACUUCUGGAGGUAUCUUGCUAUUUAUCUUGUUUGUAUCUUUUUCAGCUCCAUGAGGGCAGGACAUCUUGUGUGUUUCAUUCACAAUGUGUUCCCAGAGCUCAGCACAGUGUCAGGCACACACUAGGUGCUUAAGAAACAACUGCUUCCUCUACCUCUUCCCCUGCCAGCCCCAAGUUCAGCUAACUGGCUGUGUGACCCUGGGGAUUGCUUUUCACCUCUCUGGUCCCUUAUUCUCCCUUGUGGACAAAGGAUGGCCUGGGCAUGAGUUUCUUCAAGGACUCAGGUAGCAAUGAAAUUCCUGGGACCCCAGCUUCAUUAUCUCCCCAGGCAAUGAGGUAGAGAGCAAGAAGGCAGGUGAGCAAGGACCAGCCUCCGCCACGCAGACACCCUCUUUCCGGCUUCUCUGUCCUCCUACUUUGCCCUGGGUUUGUGGACUUACUCUGGGCAGAUCUCCAUGACCAACCACCCCCUCCCUUGGCAUGUCUGUCAGCACCCUUGGGGGAAAGAAUUUAGAAAGGGGAGGGAGAAAAAGAAAGCAGGGUGCGAGAGGAUGGUUCCCACACCUGUGUAAAUAAUUUGUCAUCUUAAAAUGCUCAAGUAUGCUCACCUUUAAUGCCUGGUUCUUGGGCUUGUUUUCCUUGGCAAGGCCCCCACAGGAGUGGAAUUUCGGCCGAAGGGAGCCCAAUUGUCAUCUUCUAAGCAUGUUCCCAGGCCGGGGGCCGGGGAGGGCUCUGACUGAUGCUCCAUUUCCGGCCCCAGAAGUGCUGGAACGUUCCUGGGAUCUAGGGAGCAGCCUCCAGUCCUGGAAGCUGUCCCAGAUUUCUGGAAUGUUGGAAUUCAAACGGCCUCCUGCCCAUUUUCCGGAGGAGGAACAUGAGACCCAGAGAGGGGAAGGAGUUGGCCUGAGGUCAUACGAUGUGCAGAGGCGAGUUAGGGUUUGCCGGGAGAAGGUGCGGGUGUGUGGACAAGUCAGCAUCUAUCUCCCAUUUUCAGGUAACAGCACCUCGACUUCCUACUGAACAACCUUCUCUUCCCUCUUCUCAGUCCAUGAGGAGGGGGGUGCCCAGAGGCCUCUGUCUCCAGGGGUGGACAUGUGACCAGGUCUUACUCUAGUGAUUGGUCCAGGGAUGAGCACAUGACUGAGCCUGCCCAAUGAAACUUGAUCCUGGGACUUUAGAGCUGGCCAUGAUUUAUGAAGGAGAUGCCAUUUUUCCAUUGGAUGGACAGUGAGCAAGUGAACGCUUAGAGCAAAAAGAGAACAAAACAAGGGAAAAGCCUGCCUGGGAGGAAGCAGCACAGAGCUGGACGGGCUUUGAACUCCUAGAUCCCACUGUACCUGAAAUUAGGCGCCUUCAACUUUCCAGUUAUGUGAGCCACUGCCUUUCUCAUUUUUGGCUGAAAACAGUUGGGACUGGCUUUCUGUCCCUUCCAUACAGAAGGUGCUGACUGACCCCUGCCCCAUGGGAGAAGAGACUCCAGGCAGAGGAAAUAGUGUGUAUAGACACCCCAAAGCAAAUGCCAAACGGGGCACUCAUGUGCCGAGGAGAAGGAGGAGGAAGCACCUGGGAGCUGAACUUAAGAGUUAGUCAGGUGGUCAAGGUGGGAGAAGAGGGUAUCUUUAGCAGAGGAAACAACCAAUGCAAAAGCUUGGUGGGGCGACUAGUUAGUGAAGAUCAAUUAUGUGCUGAGCUCGUGUUGGGUGGCAAGGGACACAGACGAAAAGGGCACAGUGGAAUCCAGCUACUCCUCACCUGCCCCAACACAGUGCAGGCUUGUCUGCUUUUGGAGCCAAACCUGGACACCUCCGUGUCCUUCCCCUGGCAGAGUGCUGCCCGUGCUGUCUCAGACUCUCCAGCAUCUCCUGGUUUGGUGAUGUGCAUCAUGGGGAACACACAAGAUUAUUUUAUAGGCUGCACAGACAAAGUGUAAAAUCACCUCGGGUCACAUAGUGAGAGUUAUUCUCCCUGCAAAUUCUUUACAGUCUUUCCUUUAUAUCCAGGAGAGUCUUUGUUUGGUGCUAACCUGCCUCUAAGACCAAAUACUUGCUAAUCUCCCUUUGUGAAAAAGAGAGCAGGUCUCAGGCUCAUUCAGGUAUCUAGCUAGACUUUUCAAAAUGUCCUGUAGAGCUGCAGCACAUAUGAACGAAGAGUUCAGCUUGUCCCAGGCCUGUAAUCGGCACCCCAGUGAGCAGACUGGACAUCCCCACCCCCAGAGAGAGCUGCCCUCCACUCAUGUUCCCUCUAGGGAUGCCGCGAUUCCAACUUGUAUCACCACAGAUGAGUUUCACAUGUUUUUGAAUUUUACAUCUUAUAUGUUUUCUGUUUCUAUACAAGUUUGCCUUUUCUAGAAUUCCAUAUAAGUGGAAUUCUAUAAUGUGUUAUCUCAAUUUGAGUCUGUUUUUUUUUUUUUUUCCUGCUCAGCAUGACACUUUUGAGAUGCAUAUAUGCUGUUGUGUGUAUCCGUAGAUGGUUCUUCUUUAUUGCAGAAUAGUGUUCCAGGGUAUGGAUGUACCAAAGCUUGUUCAUCCAUUCACUAGCUGAGGGAUAUUUGGACUGCUUCCAGUUUUUAGCCAUUAUAAAUAAAGCCAUUAGGCACAUUUGCAAACAGGUUUUUAUGUGAACAUAAAUUUUUGUUUAUCUUGGGUAAAUUUCUAGGAGUGGAAUUGCUGGGCCAGGUGGCCAAGUGUAUGUUUCACUUUUUCAGAAACCGCUGAGCUGUUUUCCAAGGUGUCUGUACCAUUUUUCAUCCCUACCAGGAAUGUAUGAAAGUGUCAGUUGCUUCAUAUUCUCACCAACACUUGGUGGUGUUAGGUUUUUUGGUGUGUAUGUGUGUUUUACUUUUAGUCAUUCAAAUAGGUGAUAGUAGUAUCUCCUUGUGGUGUUAGUUUGCAUUUCCCUAAUGACUAAUGAUGUUGAACAUCUUUGUAUGUGUUUCUUUGCCAUCUGUAUAUUUUCUUUGGUGUAGUAUCUGCUCAAACUUUAUGUCCGUUAAAAAAAAAAACCAAUUGUUUUCUUCUUAAUAGAU